UUCGAUUCGUUCGACAUUCGGCGAUA
rnacentral:sRNA from 1 species